rnacentral:lncRNA from 1 species
CUAAUCGAUCCUCCUGCAACACUUACACUAGGUUAAAUGUCAAUCGUAUUGAUCAUUUAAUCCUAGAACGAUUCUUAAUCGUUGAUCAACCAUCUGAUCGGAUCAUGAAUUCUAAUGUGUGUGACCUCAUAGGUCUGAACCUAAGUCGGUAGUAUAGAAAUAAAUUUCUGUACCAAUCGAAGUGACCAUCUAGCAAUGGUACCCG